UACGUAGGGUGCAAGCGUUGUCCGGAAUUAUUGGGCGUAAAGAGCUUGUAGGCGGUUUGUCGCGUCUGCUGUGAAAUUUCGGGGCUCAACCCCGAACUUGCAGUGGUACGGGCAGACUAGAGUGUGGUAGGGGAGACUGGAAUUCCUGGUGUAGCGGUGAAAUGCGCAGAUAUCAGGAGGAACACCGAUGGCGAAGGCAGGUCUCUGGGCCAUAACUGACGCUGAGAAGCGAAAGCAUGGGGAGCGAACGGG
rnacentral:rRNA from 1 species